rnacentral:rRNA from 1 species
GACGAACCGUGCGAACGUUGUUCGGAAUCACUGGGCUUAAAGGGCGCGUAGGCGGGCUGUCAAGUCUGGGGUGAAAUGCCGCGGCUCAACCGUGGAACUGCCUUAGAUACUGACGGCCUCGAGGGAGGUAGGGGCGUGCGGAACUGUAGGUGGAGCGGUGAAAUGCGUUGAUAUCUACAGGAACUCCGGUGGCGAAAGCGGCGCACUGGACCAUAACUGACGCUGAGGCGCGAAAAGCGUGGGGAGCGAACAGG